CCCAAAUUUUUUUCUUUCCUUUCUCUCACUCGGUCGCUCUCCUUACUGACCUUGCUCUGAACUGUAUGGAGCUUUCCAAUUUCAAUCAAUUUUUGAAGAAAGCUCAGAAGCUACAAGCUACAACUUCGACAACAGUGAACGGUCGGUUUAUCUAUCUGAGGAUCGAAGGGUGCAUUAAAUCGAGGUUGGCUCUGGGAAUUCCGGCAUGGAAAUUGCUUUGGAUCUGGCAAACGAUAGUGCAAAGACUUCAAUCAUUGUUCAAAGCCCGGUUCAUUUUUUGUCAAGAAGGAUGGUUUACUUGGCCUUGGUUUUGUUAAGAUAUCUUUCAUUUAGCAAAGUGGAUUCUUUGAUGGUUUUGCUUAGCAAUCUGGUUUAUGGAGACCUGACCCAAGUACGGGAUACCCAGGCCAAAAGAGGGCCCUUUCUUUAUGAAGAUCAAGAACGACAAGUAUCCGGCCAUUGAUGUCGGCGCCUGUAGUAAGAUCAAGUCCGACGAGAUUCAGGUUUUACCUGCAGAAAUAGGCAGCAUAAGAGGAAGCGAUGUGGAACUCAAAAGGGGAAGUCAUACCAGUUUGAGUCCAUCGUUUUCUGCACCGGAUUCAAGACAUCAACAAGUUUGUGGCUCAAGAUGAUUAUCUUUUGAAAGAAGAUAGGAUUCCAAGACCAAGUUCUCCAAACCAUUCGAAGGGACAGAAGGGUUUGUAUUGUGUGGGACUACCAAGAAGCAAUUUCCAUUUUUUAUAUGUUCUGUGGUCAUUUUGUGAAGAUGCCUACUUUCUUCGUCACUUGAACCAUUUAUUUGUGAAGGCAUGAUUUGGAUGAUCUCAUGUUCCAUUUUGGAGCCAAAAUUUGUUUAAUCACCUCUCUUCGGGAUACUUGCUACAUUGAGAUCCUUCCUAAAGACAGGAAUCCUACACAAGAGCUUUGGCUGAGCUUUUGGAGCGAAGUGCAUUACAACUCACUAUAUGCUACUGCAGAUGCAUGUUUCCACAAGAAGUCCCAGAAAGAACCAUUGGCUUUUCUAGACUGCAAUUAGCAAGCAGACAGACCAUGAUGUAAUCUUAGUCUGCUUGCCGGUAUCCAUUCUACUGUCUUUGGCAGAAUUAGAAAAUGAGACAGUGCCUUGGUUGUUUCUUGUAACACCCCGACCCAGCUUAAUCAAUCUCAUACCUGACCGGAGAUGGAGGCGAGUCGACCGGUGUGCACAGGGGCGACGCCGGAAAAGUCAGAAAUCGCGGUAAAGCUUCGAAUCUCUCUCCGAAAUCUGAUCCAAGCCAUCGGCGUGACGGCGACGAGUAGUCGGAGGGACUAGGGGGUCUAGCGUCGUCGACCGGUGGCCGGAGAUCGGCGUUGUGGAUUGGUUUCCUCGGUCGGCGAGUGCUUCGGUCUGAGAGCACCGAGCUCUCCUAUUCCCUCUCUCUCUCUCUCUCUCAAACUUUCUCCCUUUUUCCUCCCUGAGAGAGAUAUGAGGCGGUCCUCCCCAAGUUUCUCCUUUUAUCAAGAGACUUAGAGCAUCUCCAACAGUGAUAGCUAUCUUCAUAGCUAAAAGUAGCUAAAAUUAGAAUAUAGCUAGUUGAAUAUUGAGUUAUGCUCCAGCAGAAUACCUAAAUCUCAAGUUAAAUUUAACUUUUAGUUAAAUUUCUCUUUUCUCUAGCUAAAUAUAGCUAGAUUUUUUAGCUAAAGCUAAAUUUAGCUUUUGUUUAGCUAGUCUGCUGGAGAUCAAACUUAGCCUAAAAUCAGUUAAAUUUCAAUUUUUUUUUUAAAUAAGUAUUCUGUUGGAGAUGCUCUUAGAGAGGGAUGUAGAGAGUUCUCGAGAGUCCACGUGCUUCCCCCUCCCAUCGAUCUUAUCUCCCCCUCCCCAUUCUAGAACCUCCUUGAUUGAUCUGAUCAACACCUGUAAAUAGAUUGGUCCAUUUAACAAUGGACGGUCCUGAUCAAGCGGUGAGUGGAUCAAUGGCUCACAUCGCUCCAUCAACUUUCCGUUUCUUGAUUUCAUUUCUUAAAUUCCACAACUUCGAACAAUCACCAUAAAU